rnacentral:lncRNA from 1 species
AUUCACUAGCUGACAUUGUUUUUGCUAUUUUCCCCCUAAUUCUUCCAUGUUUUUCUUUCAGUUAAGAAAUUAUUGAGCAAAGAUGACUGAAAGAGUUUUAGAGAAGCUAUCGGCCUUGGACAAACGUUCAGAGAAGGUGAUGGAUAUAUGGACACAGAAAUGUUGGAUGCAAAAUGUCAGCAGGAAGAAGAGUUUGCGUAUUCCCCUGACCUUUGACUUCCACACAGGCUUUGAAAAACCCUGUCCUAAAAGCAUUCCUUCCAAACUCAAAGAAUCUUCCCAAAAGGAACAGUCAUCGGUAGAUGGUCGAAAGGUGGACAAAAAGCUUACCAGUGGUUCAAAUGUAUGGAAGCCCAAACUUCUGACUUCUGGACUUUUGCCCAGAAAGUGUCUCUUUGGGAAGGCAAAUAUGAGACCUUAUUCUGUUCCAGGCAACCUGAAAUAUCAGCUUUUAGGAACUCACUGAUAUGGGAAAUGGAGUCCUGGAAACCAUCUUCCAAUGAACACUCAUUCUCUGGACCUGGGCAUCAUGGGAAAUGCAGCCCUCCAUUCACCACCUCAGCCAUGCCAUCUAUAGUAGAGAAACUACAGUUUUCAGAAGCACCUGCACAAUGGAAGUCUGUUAAGCCUUUUCUUUACCCAAAAAGCAAGGACAAAGCUGAGACAGGACACAUGAUACCAUGGAUCAGAAUAUCCCAACCAACUCCGUCAUCAUUCAAAGGACCUGCUUUGGGCACUCCAGAAUUCUCUGCUCCAUAUUAUCAGUCCAGUUAUAGAGAAAAGGAAAGGAAAUGCACAGAUUUUCCCGGUAAAAACAGAUAUCUUUUUCAGAAAUUUGGAAAAAUCCCUGACACAACUGGCAUUUUACCAAGGGACGGCGUGAGAGGAAGGAAAAGAGUGAUCGCCCAAAAGGAUGCUACUUCUCUGGGGAGAAGAGGAUCGUUCAGGUACAUCCUUCCCACCCGACGUGAUUUAGAGAAUGAGACAACACAUUUGAUCCCUCUGACUGUGCAGGAUGAGCUGAGGAAGCCAAACACCAAGGUCAUCAGCCACCAUCACCCAAAACAAGAGGCUUCUUCCCCGGUAACAAAAACGAGCAUCUUCCCGGCCAUUCCCGGUCACCCUGGGGCUGAGAGGGGA